GACGAACGCUGGCGGCGUGCUUAACACAUGCAAGUCGAACGGUAAGGCCCUUCGGGGUACACGAGUGGCGAACGGGUGAGUAACACGUGGGUGAUCUGCCCUGCACUUCGGGAUAAGCCUGGGACACUGGGUCUAAUACCGGAUAGGACCACUGCCUGCAUGGGUGGUGGUGGAAAGCUUUUGCGGUGUGGGAUGGGCCCGCGGCCUAUCAGCUUGUUGGUGGGGUGAUGGCCUACCAAGGCGACGACGGGUAGCCGGCCAGAGAGGGUGACCGGCCACACUGGGACUGAGAUACGGCCCAGACUCCUACGGGAGGCAGCAGUGGGGAAUAUUGCACAAUGGGCGCAAGCCUGAUGCAGCGACGCCGCGUGAGGGAUGACGGCCUUCGGGUUGUAAACCUCUUUCAGCACCGACGAAGCGCAAGUGACGGUAGGUGCAGAAGAAGGACCGGCCAACUACGUGCCAGCAGCCGCCGUAA
rnacentral:rRNA from 1 species